AUACGGAGGGUGCAAGCGUUACUCGGAAUCACUGGGCGUAAAGCGCGCGCAGGCGGUCUUUUAAGUUGGAUGUGAAAGCCUACGGCUCAACCGUAGAACUGCAUCCAAAACUAUGAGACUAGAGUGUGGGAGAGGAAGAUGGAAUUAGUUGUGUAGGGGUAAAAUCCGUAGAGAUAACUAGGAAUACCAAAAGCGAAGGCAAUCUUCUGGAACACUACUGACGCUGAGGCGCGAAAGCGUGGGGAGCAAACAGGAUUAGAUACCCUAGUAGUCC
rnacentral:rRNA from 1 species